AUGAACGCUGGCGGCGUGCCUAAUACAUGCAAGUCGCGCGAACAGACGAGGAGCUUGCUCCUCUGACGUUAGCGGCGGCCGGGUGAGUAACACGUGGAUAACCUACCUAUAAGACUGGGAUAACUUCGGGAAACCGGAGCUAAUACCGGAUAAUAUAUUGAACCGCAUGGUUCAAUAGUGAAAGACGGUUUUGCUGUCACUUAUAGAUGGAUCCGCGCCGCAUUAGCUAGUUGGUAAGGUAACGGCUUACCAAGGCGACGAUGCGUAGCCGACCUGAGAGGGUGAUCGGCCACACUGGAACUGAGACACGGUCCAGACUCCUACGGGAGGCAGCAGUAGGGAAUCUUCCGCAAAGGGCGAAAGCCUGACGGAGCAACGCCGCGUGAGUGAUGAAGGUCUUCGGAUCGUAAAACUCUGUUAUUAGGGAAGAACAAAUGUGUAAGUAACUAUGCACGUCUUGACGGUACCUAAUCAGAAAGCCACGGCUAACUACGUG
rnacentral:rRNA from 1 species